rnacentral:rRNA from 1 species
AGGACGAACGCUGGCGGCGUGCUUAACACAUGCAAGUCGAACGGUGAACCAGGGCUUGCCCUGGGGAUCAGUGGCGAACGGGUGAGUAACACGUGACCAACCUGCCCUUGGCUCUGGGAUAACCCCGGGAAACCGGAGCUAAUACCGGAUACGAGUUCGUAUGGCAUCACACGAACUGGAAAGUUUUUUCGGCCAAGGAUGGGGUCGCGGCCUAUCAGCUUGUUGGUGGGGUAAUGGCCUACCAAAGGCGACGACGGGUA